GUUUGGGGUUGAGGGGCUCACUGGCCAGUUUUUCCAUGUUUCUCAAAUAAAACUCUGGUGUCAUCAAGAAACAUGGUGGAGGGAGACAUGAAGACUUUAGAGACAGGAACCACUGCAGAAAUAUCAGGAGAUGGGGAGGCAGAGGAAAGAAAGGAGAGAUCUGUGGAUCCCGUGAGCACCCCAAAUUGGAACCACUCCUUACCGUGCCUCAAGGAAGCAACAGACCUCCAAACUGCAUGGUGUACCUCAAAAGAGCAAGACCCAAGCAAAAAGAAUGCUGCCUGAUUUCCUGACAUUAACAAUGAACACAGCCAGACUCAAGAGGAGGAAGCUACUGGGACCACGGCAGUCAAGGAAACACCAUCAACACCCAGUCUUCCUCCCACAUUACUCAGAGACUUUUAUCUUUGCCAUCCUUAAACACAUUCCUGCAGGUCUCCAGAUCCCUUCCAGCCCAUCUUAGAUAAAACUGUGCAGGAAAAAUGUGCUUCUAAUAUAGAGGUUUCCAUCUGGACACCUUGUAUUUGAAUCACAACUCAAACUUUUUUAAUGCCACCCUCUGUUUCCCUACUGGAUCUUAAAGACAAUUGGCACUGAAGCAUAAUAAAAUAAUCAAUUAUGUCUCA
rnacentral:lncRNA from 1 species